AAUCCUUGACAACUCUGUUUAAACUCUCUCUCACACUUCCUUCUCCUAUUUCUGUCAAACCGCGGGUGGGGACUCACUGCGUUUCAAAGCUUCAUUGCGCGCGCGGGAAUUAAGUUCAAACACAGUCUCAAUUUGACUUACUCUCCGAUUCGAGUUCCCAUUCGUCCACCAUUGUCUUCUUCAACCUCCGCAGGUAAUCCUUCAUCGAGUUCCCAUGGCGUCGUAUUCAUCGAUUAUAACGUCUUCGCUUCUGCAAUUUUACGUCGAUUUGGCGUGACUCAAUCAUCUCCUCGAUUCAGUUUGCUCUCGAUCGCUGUUCUCCACGGUUUGUAUCACCAUCGUCUUCGCCAAAGGUUAUGGAACAAAAUAAUUCAGCCUUCAUGCAAAAGUUUCAAAUGUCAAAGUGAUACCUAAUGGGGUCAUUGAUCAAAGAGUUUCUUUUUUGAGGGUCUGAUGGAUAUUUUUCAUUCCACAACAUGCCUGCAGGGACUCAUUUAGUUGAAGUGGUAGCAAUAGGCUAUUUCUUUUCUCCAGUUUGUACUCAAUUUGGAUAUUACUACAUCUAUAAAUUUUCCCCUAUGUAUGCUCAUGUAUUAAAUUAUUGUGUUCAUUUAAAAAAGGUAUGAGUUGAUGUUAGUGCAAGAAACCCUGACAAAAAGGUAUGAGUUGAUGUUAGAGCCAUUGAAGGAGGAACAAUAUUAUGAGACUAGGGUGCCAUUCUCUAUUAUGUCCAUUGUGAAGCGUCCAAUGGUUCUGAUGAUGGGAUUCAUGCUGAUUGUUGUCUUUCUUAUGCCCAAAUUGAUGGAGAACACGGUUUUACCAGAUUUUCCCGUAAAUUUCACAAACCAGCGAGCCUAUGUAAACAUAUAGUGCUAUUAAACAAAGAAUAAUUAAGGGCAACAAUGGUAUAGUUUCUCUACACUUUAUUGUGAAAAAACAUUAUGUCCCUAAAUAUGACUUUCACGAUUGAAACUCAAUGUUCAUAACUUAACUUGUAAGUUUUUUUUUUUUGGACAAAAUUUAACUUGUAAGUAUUAGAACAUAGAGCAUAGUAGUGUGUGAAUUAAAAAUAAAAAUUCUAAAUUCCCAAAUUGGAUAAUAGAAAAUAUUAGUGUGUGCAGCAUACUAGUAUAGUAUGUGAAAAAAACAUUAAGUCACUCAUCCAUUAGAUACACAUUAAUUGUUUAACUCCCAACACUAUAUAUAGAGUGUUAAGCCUUUGAGAAAAUCACACCAAGCUUGCGGCAAUUUCAAGCUUCUCUUUUCUCCCUUUGUUGCUUGAUGCACUUUCGAGCCAUUUCUCCCUCUUUCUUGUUGUCCCUUCAGAUUAUGAGUGGUCAUAGAACCAAAGUUUCUUCGGUAGUGGUACUGCAGUCCCCCUCCAUUUGGUUCAAGAGUGGU